AUACUUACCUUGGGACGUCACUGGAGAUCAAGAAGUCCUAGUGAUCAGGGGCUACUGUUGGCAUUGCACUGAGCUGCAGAACCCUUGCCAACCUUCCAUAUGGUUGGUGUGGGUCUCAUAAUUUUUGAUUUC
rnacentral:snRNA from 24 species